rnacentral:misc_RNA from 1 species
AAGUCGUAACAAGGUUUCCGUAGGUGAACCUGCGGAAGGAUCAUUAUUGAAUUUAAUGUGGAGUUGGUUGUAGCUGGCCUUGGAUUUAAUUUUCCCUGGCAUGUGCACACCUUCUCUUUCAUCCACACACACCUGUGAACCUGUGAGACAGUAGUUUGGGGACUUUAUUGAACCCACUUCUGUCUACUUAAUUUAUAUAAACUCAAUUUAAUUUAAAACGAAUGUAAUGGAUGUAACGCAUCUAAUACUAAGUUUCAACAACGGAUCUCUUGGCUCUC